GGAUGUGAGGGUGAUCUGGCUGAAUAUCUGUCACCCCAUUGAUCGCUGGGGUUGAUUCAGCUGAUCCAGCUGGCUAGACAGGUGUCCCCUUCCUCCCUCACUGCUCCAUGUGCGUCCCUCCUGAAGCUGCGUGCUCGGUCGAAGAAGAAGGGCUUCCCCAAACAGAGACGGACCGGUCUUCGGUCGAGGGUAUAGGAGUAGCUGCGCUCCCCUGCUAGAACUUCCAAACAAGCUCUCAAGGUCCAGGAAUAGCCCCCAAACUGAGCAACAGCCAAUGAGGCAAAAUGGAGACAGUAGCACAUGGAGUUUCU
ensembl:misc_RNA 7SK 7SK RNA